rnacentral:misc_RNA from 1 species
AACGCACAUUGCGCCCCUUGGUAUUCCGAGGGGCAUGCCUGUUCGAGCGUCAUUACACCACUCAAGCUAUGCUUGGUAUUGGGUGCCGUCCUUAGUUGGGCGCGCCUUAAAGACCUCGGCGAGGCCUUACCGGCUUUAGGCGUAGUAGAAUUUAUUCGAACGUCUGUCAAAGGAGAGGACUUCUGCCGACUGAAACCUUUAUUUUUCUAGGUUGACCUCGGAUCAGGUAGGGAUACCCGCUGAACUUAA